UAUGUGGGAUCCAAGGCUGGCAGAGGACAGCAGGCCCAGCCCGAGUGUUUUCCUCGCUGCCGCUGCCGAGAAGAUGAGUGAGAGGAGCAGAAUAACAAAAAGCCACUUCAAAACACCAGCCCAAGACAAAGCAGAGGAGAACAGAGGUUUCGGGCACACACUCACACGGGCACACACUCACACACACGCCCCCAGAACCCCGCCGCGCUGCUGCUGCUGCUGCUGCUGCUGCUUCGGGAGAACAAAAACAAGUCACGAGGGAGCCUCCAGCCGUCAGCCUCCGGUGAGCCCUCUCUACCAUCAGCGCUGGCAGAGACGAAGAGGAGGAAGCUGGAGCUGUGGACUUUGGCUCCUAGAAACCCCGUGGGGAAGAGGGUGGGCAGAAGUUACUCCGUAAGACGAUGAAUGACCCAAGAGAGAGAGAGACCAGUUGAGAUACCCUUUAAGACCCACUGGACGUAUCAGUCAAGGCCUCGCUGUGUUGCCUGGUUAUCAUCUAAUCUUAUGAGAAGGGACAAACACCUAAGCCAAGUCAUCACGCCCGUGAAACACAUUCCUAGACCAUCGAUGUCGUAGAUGGGGGGGAGGGGUGUGAAGGAGGACAAGCACCUGUGACCUCAGAACCUCAUUGCACAUGGGGACAGCUUGCGCCCAGCGAGGGUCUGGCGUCUCUUCAGGGUCUCUCCCAGCCGAAUCCUGUCCACGUGAACCUCCCAACACCAGAGUUGUGAAUCUUUAUUGAUUAUAAAAAUGAUCUACUUACAUGAAACCCAGUUUUGAGAAGAGAGGAAGAGAUUACUCAUGAUCUUACCACACUCAGUCCAGUUUCUUUCUCCCUUCCUGGUUCUCAUCUGAUGCAGGUGGAUGGAACAUUUGUUUUUUGACAGAGCCCAGCCUGGGAGCUAGAGUUUGCAUGGCCUGGGCUGCUGCAUGAUCUUUGUUACCAUCCGCAGUGCUCAAAGUACUUGAGCGUAUCAUCACAGACCCAACUUCCUGUGGCUGGAGGCCUCACUUCUGUGCUCUGCCUCAAACCAAGCUAUCUGCCCGUCUGCCUGGGCUGUCGGGCUCUGCGGGCAGCACAGAAAGUGGCCUGGCUUCGGAGGAGGCAGAGGUGAGUCCAGCCUUUCUUCAACCGGCUCUGGAGCUGAGCCCUGCCAAAGGUACCCACAAAAGAGAGCGGCCUCCAUCUUUUAGCACGUUAAGGGCACGCUGGGGACCUGUUCGUGCAAAGCAUUUCACAGGUGCACUUACCCACUGGAUUGUACAGCUAGCUCCUCUGCCAGGCGGAAGGCAGGGCCCAUGCCUUGCUGGAUCUUGUGUUACUUGGGCUGAGGACGGUCCUCGGCAUAUUAAAGGUACUCAGUAGUUGUUUGUCGAGUGAAUGAAAGUUGGAAGAAGGGUUCACGGCUCACAAGAAACUUGUGAACGGCCAGGCUCUUUCUGCAGCCCAGGCUGCAGAUUUGGACACAUUGUUGCCUCAGGGACUUAGCGGCCCGCCUCCAUUUAGUAAUGUGGCUGACUUGGACUUGUCCCCCUGU